UACGUAGGGGGCAAGCGUUGUCCGGAAUCAUUGGGCGUAAGAGCGUGUAGGCGGCCAGAUAAGUCCGCUGUGAAAUCUCGAGGCUCAACUUCGAGCUGUCGGUGGAAACUGUCUGGCUAGAGUCCGGAAGAGGCGAGUGGAAUUCCCGGUGUAGCGGUGAAGUGCGCGAUAUCGGGAGGAACACCAAUGGCGAAGGCAGCUCGCUGGGCGGUACUGACGCUGAGACGCGAAAGCGUGGGGAGCGAACAGG
rnacentral:rRNA from 1 species